AUGCAAAAGCACCAAGCCCUGCUACCGGCGAUGGCGUUCACUGACGAGUACAAGAGCGACAAGGCCGUGGAGGCACAUGGCAACACCAAGUUGCACGUCAUCCACACCAAUGACAAGAAGCAUAUGGCGAUCUCCCUCACGUACACCUUUGCAGGAUUCUCCAUUGACGGCGACAAAACCAGGCUAGAGUGCGUCAAACUGGAGGUCGCCAACUUAGUCGACAUCCAGAAGGAGUGGAGGGUGCCCGAGGCAACCAAGGCAUUGGACUCCCUUGGAGACAUUUCUGGCAUGCUCAUUGAUGACUACUACAACAACAUGAAGAAGAAGAUCACCGACGACAAGCACAGGCACUGGGCCACCCUGCCUCUGUCCAUGAGGCACCUCGAGUACGUGGCAAAGGACGCCUAUGCAGCGUAUGAGAUAUGGAACCGCAUCACCCUCACCCAGGACGGCCUUCUCCGUGCAAAGCUGGAGAAGGAGGAGCCCCCCAAGAAGCGCGCCAGCAGCAGCUGGGGAUGGGAAGAGCCUAACUAAACAAACACGAGAGAGAAGAGGAGAGUCAUAGCGGAUGCACCUCUGUAUAAGCAGCGCCACACGUACACCAGGGAGCUCCAAGACGUCCACCUCCACGGCAAUCACAAGCUCCAUGUCAUUUGCACAAGCAAGGGUAAAGACAUGGACAAGAUGCUGUCCACGUUCAAGAGGAAGCUCGGCGGAAUGCCCGUCAAACUAGUCGGUGUUGAUGUCGAGUACACGCACUACAUGAAGCCACAACGGGCAGCAGUGCUCCAGCUGUGUGUAGAAAAAGAAUUCCUUGUCUACCACAUCUCUGCAGCUAAAGACAGACCAAUGGAACUAGACAAAUUCCUCAUGAAUGAUGAGUACACCUUCGUCGGAUUCGCUAUUGAAGGAGAAAAAAGCAAGCUGAAGGUAUCUGGUUUGGAGAUCAACUCCGACAACUACACUGAUAUUUAG
rnacentral:rRNA from 1 species